GAAGAAUAUUUGAGACCCUUACUAUGAAUUCUAAGUAAGUUUUCUGUCUUUCUGCAGCUAAUAGCAAAGUUUCAUAAAGAUUUUUUCUUCUUUGUAAAACACUUGGAAAAUCCAUGGUGUUUUACUGGGUGCUCAGAUGAUGCUCAAUAUUCAUUAAGUUACUCACAAAAUUCAGUACAUUUUAAACAGUCAAAUCAGGAAGAAAAUAUUGUUCUUCCCACUACUGAUUCAAAAACCUCAGAACAAGUAAUCUACGUUCAAAACUCUUUCUACUGUAGAAAGUCGAUUCAAAAGUCGUUAGUUAACCAAACAGCUGAGCUUAAGAAGGAGAAUAAUUUCAAGUUGACUUACUACCAACUUUGUCUUUUUUUAAAAAAAUUUAA
rnacentral:lncRNA from 1 species